rnacentral:tRNA from 1 species
GCGUCCAUAGCUCAGCCGGAUAGAGCAACAGCCUUCUAAGCUGUGGGUCGGGGGUUCGAGUCCCUCUGGACGUA